ACUCUUCUUCCAGUUUUCCCUCAAUUUAUUAAAAGAAAAAUGAGUUCCCUAUCUGUCCAAUAGACAGCAGAAAUGAGAUCGCUAACAGCAACAAAACUAAAGUACUAAGCAAGAGAUCAGAAAUUAGAAACUUUUCCUACAAAAAAAAACGGAAACAAAAAUUUGAAGGCUAGAGUAAAAUUGGAAAAAGACUGAAAAAUAAAUUAAAGAAAAUCGCACAACCUGGAAAGUUGAUUCUUUUUCUCCUUCUCGUGGACUUUCAAUCCAUUGUCCGCAAUCUAUGAGAAGCAAAAUGCGAUUGUGAGUAACUGCAAAUUCAAGAAAACAAAGAAAGAAACAAAAACUAAACAAAAAAACAUCAAUGUGCCUUAUUUGUUUUUAAUUUUUGUUGAUUAACAAAGAAGAAAAGAAGAAAGAAAACAUGUAGAUGAAUGAUAGAUCUGGUCAUCGUUUGACAGAGAGGGAGAGCGAGAAAGGAAGAGUGUUCGUCUAUCAAAGUUGAACAAAAGCAGAAGUUCUUGGAGGAAGAGAUUAGCAUCCUGGGAGAAGCUAAAGGUAUAAGCUUACCUAAUUCCUUCCUCGCACAGCAUUUCUCAGUUCACUAAAAAAAAUGGUCAAGGCCAUUUCCGCUCCACCAGCUGGAUUUGUGAACAAUUUUUGGGAGUAUUUACAAGGGGCGUUUGUUGCUGUCUUGAUGAAGUACUCUGACAACUACCCACAACUUCAACCUUCAACUUUCUGUCCGAGGCAGAGAAAGUGAGAUGGUAAGCAGGUAAACAUCUGACAUACUCCUUGGAUGCAAAGCUUUACUUUG
rnacentral:lncRNA from 1 species